rnacentral:rRNA from 1 species
GAGGGUGAUGCCUGCCCAAUGGUUGUAUCUAAAAGCGGUUGAUAAAAGUCGACCUUGUAAGGACAAUUGAAUGGCCGCGGUAACACUGACCGUGAUAAUGUAGCGUAAUCAAUAGCCAAUUAAUUGUUGGCCAGUAUGAAUGGCGCCACGAAGGCCCCACUGUCUUAAGGAAAUUCCCAGUGAAAUUGAAUUCGUAGUGAAGAUGCUACGUCCAAUUUGUUAGACGAAAAGACCCCGUUGAGCUUUACUGGAGCACUUAUAUGGCCCCGGCCUUCCCAUGCCUGGGAACCGGCCGAAUUUAAAUGGGCGGCUUAGAUUAUGUGGCAGCCCCCCGCUGGGGCAAAUGAAACACCACUCCCCCAUGUCAAAGGGGCUAACCCCCCCCUUGGGGGGGACAGUGUAAGUAGGACAGUUUGGUUGGGGCGACCGCCUUUUAAAAAGUAACGAAGGUGCGCUUAAGGUGUGCAAUUAAUGACUGAAGCCUGACUGCGAGGGGGGUACCCCGAGCAGACACCCCUAAGCCCGCCCG